rnacentral:rRNA from 1 species
AUACGUAGGUGGCGAGCGUUGUCCGGAAUUACUGGGUGUAAAGGGCGUGUAGGCGGGGAUGCAAGUCAGGUGUGAAAUACUAAGGCUUAACCUUGGGGCUGCAUCUGAAACUGUGUUUCUUGAGUGUCGGAGAGGAAAGCGGAAUUCCCAGUGUAGCGGUGAAAUGCGUAGAGAUUGGGAGGAACACCAGUGGCGAAGGCGGCUUUCUGGACGACAACUGACGCUGAGGCGCGAAAGCGUGGGGAGCAAACAGGAUUAGAUACCCUGGUAGUCCACGCCGUAAACGAUGGAUACUAGGUGUAGGAGGUAUCGACCCCUUCUGUGCCGGAGUUAACACAAUAAGUAUCCCACCUGGGGAGUACGGCCGCAAGGUUGAA